UAGGAGUGCCAGAUGAGAUGGGUUUGAUUUAGGAUUAGAUGAUGCUGUUUCCGCCCUCUGUG
rnacentral:tRNA from 1 species